rnacentral:misc_RNA from 1 species
ACCUUCAGGGGCCUGCCUCUGGUAUGCUAGUGAGUUUGAUGGCACAAGAAAUAAUGAUAUAUCUAAUAAUCAUCAGCCUUAAUUAUAGUAAAUCUGAUUUAAACUUUUUCUUGGGGAACUGUUCUAGCUGCGAAUUCUCAAUUUAGAAGAUUUUAUGAGCAAACUUGUGAAUUUUUAGCUAGGAUUUUGCUUGCAGGAUUUCGUCAGGGAUCAUCAUGUGAAGGCAUAGUGUUAUAGUUGGGUGUUCUGCAAAAGGAAAAUAAGUCUUUUUAAGGCGCUAAUGAUCGUUCACAAAUUUUAUAGAAAAAAUAUGCUGUUCGGUAAUCAAUCAUAUCAUUGGAGAAUCUGUUCAAUGGACACGGAAUGGAUCAUAUUUAAGGCAAUAAGUUGGUCAACUUUUUGCGGCUUUCCCAUCUGCAUUCGAUGCAAUAUUGCAACAAAUGUUGUGUGCACUAGAUUAAGGAAGUAAAGACCUAUAGAAACUUAAAAUCAUUUUUGUCAUCCUUGCUCCUUUUCUUUGUUCCUGUUUACCUCAGCCUCCAACUCCUUUGAGUGAAAAUAAAAAAUUAAGACAAUGCUUUGUCAUUUAUAGCUUCUAUUCAUUUGACUUCAUUGCUUAUUAUUCACAUAUCCACAUUCUUUUUUAAUUUUUACUUUGCAGGUAAAAGAAG